GACUCAAUGGUCUAGUGGUAAAGCGUUGGCCACAAAGCUAGUGGGUCCUGGGUUCGAUCCCUAGUAGGGUCG
rnacentral:tRNA from 1 species